UUGAUUUCUUCGGAAUGAAGUUUUUGUGACUGAGUGGCGGACGGGUGAGUAACGCGUGGGUAACCUGCCUCAUACAGGGGGAUAACAGUUGGAAACGACUGCUAAUACCGCAUAAGCGCACAGGAUUGCAUGGUACGGUGUGAAAAACUCCGGUGGUAUGAGAUGGACCCGCGUCUGAUUAGCUAGUUGGUGGGGUAACGGCCCACCAAGGCGACGAUCAGUAGCCGACCUGAGAGGUUGAACGGCCACAUUGGGACUGAGACACGGCCCAGACUCC
rnacentral:rRNA from 1 species